AAAGAUGUAGUAUAAUAAAAUACAUUUCAUUUACACUGAAAAUAUAUUUAAGAGAUAAAUCGUCUUUA
rnacentral:tRNA from 1 species